rnacentral:lncRNA from 1 species
AUGACUGUUUCUGGAACUGUUUGUCUCAGUUCCUGUUUUUCUAUUUUAUCAAGGCCACUUUUAUGGCGGCUCACGGCCGCUCCCUUCACCUGGGUCGAGCCAGGAGUUGGAACUCCGUGCAGAUCUCCCACAGGAGUGGCAGAAACCACCCCCCCACCCCGCCUCCUGGACUCUUCACUGGUGGGAAGCUGCAGGCAGACGCUGAGACUCAACCCCACGACACGCUGGGGGAUCCUUGCAUCCCUGGAGGAAGAGGAUUCAGACAAGAGACAGAGCUCCUUUUCUUUUGGUUCUAUAGGAAAUGCCUCAAGAUUUUAUCAAAGAGACCUGGCCCAGCAGCCUGGCAUUUUCUUCAGUGAAACCCAUCCUGGAAUCUCUGAGAGGCGGCUGAGGAAGAGAGGGAAGGGAAAUAAAAUUGGCCUGCUCAUCACAUUUCCUGGAGUUUGGAGGAUGCUCAGCCGCAGCAGGAGAGAAAGGUGCCAACAGUAACAUAAGACACUGAGAACAGAGCCCCACGUGGCUUCGCAGCUCCCUCUGCACAACGUGACCAGAGGAUAUCAAGUGAAUCCAACGUGGUGUUGGAAGAGAAGAAAUACUGCCAUGCCAACCAUCUUUCAAAACUUCAUGAGAAAAGUGAGGUUGAUCAAAGAGACCUUGUGGGUGUCUAAUGGUGCAGUGCAGAGCAUUCCACACGGUGCUGCCUGGUGCUCCCUGAUGCAGUUUGGAAAGAGAUAUUGACAGUGCAUGGCAUGACGGCAUCAUUAGAGGGCACUGCCACCCAGGCCCCCAGGCUAUGACAAACGCUGGCCUCAGCUCAGAGAAGCUGCCCUGCCAGAAGGCUCUCACGGCUGCUGACAAUAUGACAAAGCUCUGGAGUUAAGACAUCCUCUCCUCUCCCUCAGCCCUCCCAGGCCCUGGAGCACUCUGAUUUGGGGCAUCACUAACCCAGCAGUAAGCAGAACACGUUGCUCAUUGGAUUAAAAGGGGGAGAAAAAGGCAACCGUCUAUUUUAUUUGCAAAACUAAAUCUAGGAAAUCACCUAGCACAAUUCCUGGCUUGGGCUGAAUUCUCCAUACACUUUUUUAUUUAUUUAUUUAUUUAUUUAUUUAUUUUUAAUUUUUUGCCAGGCAGAGUUAGACAGUGAGAGAGAGAGAGACAGAGAGUUAUAGACAGCGAGAGAGAGACAGAGAGAAAGGUCUUCCUUCCAUUGGUUCACUCCCCUAAUGGCCGCUACGGCCAGCGCUGUGCCGAUCCGAAGCCAGGAGCUGGGUACUUCCUCCCAGUCUCCCAUGCAGGUGCAGGGACCCAAGCACUUGGGCCAUCCUCCGCUGCCCUCCUGGGCCACAGCAGAGAGCUGGACUGGAAGAGGUGCAACCGAGACUAGUACCCGCUGCCCCAACUGGGCCUAGAUCCUGGGGUGCUGGCGCUGCAGGCGGAGGAUUAGCCAAGUGAGCCACGGCACUGGCCUCCAUACACUUUCACUCUUGUU